GAUUGAUGAUUAGGGUGAAGUCGUAACAAGGUAUCCGUACGAGAACGUGCGGANGGAUCACCUCCUUUCUAUGGAGUUAAUACUUUAUAGUAAUUAACUAGUUUUAAUGACCGUUAUGUUUAGUUUUCAGAGAUUAGUUUCUCUGACAAUAGCAAAUAAAUGUUAUUGGAAUUGUUCUUUGAAAACUGGAUAAUAGACAUCUAGUUAUUUUAAUCAAGUGAUUAAAAUAACAAUAAUUCAAAAUUUCUGUUAUUUUUUAAAAAUAACUAAAAUUUCACAGUUAUAUUUGUAAAUAAUUCUCAAAAACUGAUUUAAAAUCAGGUCAAAUAAUUUAUAAAACUUUGAAGUUACAAAGGG
rnacentral:misc_RNA from 1 species